UUUUCCUUCUUUUUUAAUCAGUUCUCUGAGAGUGUGAGUGGCACAAAAUUUGAGGAAGACCAUCUUUCCCAUUACUCUCCCUGGUCUUGUGGCACCAUAGGCUCGUGUAUAAAUGCCAUUGAUUCAGAGCCCAAAGAUGUGAUUGCUAAUUCAAAUGCUGUGCUAAUGGACCUGGACAGUGGGGAUGUUAAGAGAAGAGUGCAUUUAUUUGAAACGCAGAGAAGGACAAAAGAAGAAGACCCAAUUAUUCCCUUUAGUGAUGGACCCAUUAUCUCAAAAUGGGGUGCAAUUUCCCGAUCCUCCCGAACAGGUUACCAUACAACAGAUCCCAUCCAAGCCACUGCUUCCCAAGGAAGUGCAA